UUUACAUACUUUAAACGUCCGACUGUGGGUUCUGUUCCUCUAUAUGAGAGAGAGAGAGAGAGAGAGAAUGUGUAAGUGUUUGAGAGCUACCGGACCUAGGCAGCAAACGACGUUCCCCUUAUCAGCGUCUCUUUCCUGUUGUCAUCUUUCACUGCUGUUGAACCUGCAGUGAUCCCAAACAGGACUGUAAUGAUGGUGGAGGGUCUGCAGUCUCUUCCUUUCAGGUUGACAUCUUUUUUUUUUUUUUUUUUUAAAUCUUACAUCAGUUGCUAUUUCAUAUUUCAGGUCAAUAUGCGCUCCCUCAAUAUGUCCGUGUGGAACUUGCGCGGAUUUAAAGUUCCACAUCGACCGAAGAUUUUACUUAAUUUUUCUUUUCUCAACAUACUGUGCCGCUUCGGUACAGCUGUGUACUGAACCGAACAGCUGUGUACUGAAACGGUUCGGUGUGUGGACCGUCACAGGCCUAUUAGAAAUAGUAUGGAACCCGACCGACGAUGAAAACACCAAGUGACUCAUGCAGUGAUGGAGAUAUUAUUACGAUGAAAAUAUUCAUGUCAGUUAAUAAAAAUAAAUGUGAUGAUUAAUAUCAAGUGUUUAUUUUGUUUCAGGUUAAAGGUCGAGUUUUGGAAGUUGAAGAACCAGAAGAGUCGUCAUGUCGGCCAUAGCAAUUCUGAGACGUAAUAAAACAGGCUUUCAGUGGAUUCUGUCAGCAGACCCCCACCUCCUCAUCCAAAAACUUCUUCAAGAACAUCUAAUAACACUCCAUCAACACUGGUACCUCAAACUAAAUAAAACCAGUGAAGAGCUGGUCACCGAGGUCUUGGAUUUAAUCCAAAAUAAAGGAGAAACCAUGUGCUGUCGUUUCCUGGAGCUUCUGCGAACUGAUGAAGACCUUAAAGCUGCUUUUCCAGGUUUACAGGAGACACUCAGAGAUUAUGUGGAUCCAGAGACACGAGACGAGAUCAAAAAGAUGAACCUCCUCAGUGUUCUGGAAGAACUGGAAGAUGAAGAAUUUACGAAGUUCAAGUGGGGACUUUAUGAAGACCCUAUGAUCUCACGGUCUUGGCUGAAAAAGACAGGAAGGACGGAUGUAGUCGAUCUGAUGAUGGACUCACAUGAUGGACCUGGAUCCUGGAUGAAGAUCAGGAGGGUUUUACAGAGGAUGGACAGGACUGAUCUGGUCCAGAGGCUGACAGAGAUCUCCUCAGAACCAGGAGGUGAAGGUGGACCAAAGACCCAGACUCCAGAGGAGAGACACAAGAUGAACCUCCUCCGUUUUCUGGAAGAACUGAAAGAUGAAGAAUUUAAGGAGUUCAAGAGGAAACUAAAAGAAGAACCUAUGCUCAGAUGGUUCUGGGUGAAAAAGGCAGAAAGGACGGAUGUAGUCGAUCUGAUGAUGGAGUCAUAUGUUGGAGGUAAAACUUGGAUGGAGACCAGGAGGGUUUUAGAGGACAUGAACAGGACUGAUCUGGUCCAGAGGCUGACAGAGAUCUACUCAGAACCAGGAGGUGAAAGUGGAGCAAAGACCCAGACUCCAGAGGAGAGUAAAAGACCAAUGAAGACCUGGGAGACAUACCAUAGUGUGAUGGAUGCUGGGUUUGGGUCUUAUGAUCUGAUGAGUCUCACACCGUCCAAGUCGUGGAGCCCAAAUAUGAAGAGGAUCCUCCAGGACUUUCUGGAUUCACUGACACAGGAUCAGUUUGAUGAGUUCAAGCAGCACCUCAGGCAUAGAGAUGUGUUUAUGAGGGAGUCCAACCUGGAAACUGCAACAAGGAGAGACACAGUGGAGAUAAUGUCCCAGAUGUGUGGUGCAUCUGUAGCCAUGGAGGAGACCAGGAGGGUUUUAAACAGGAUGGGAAGGACUGAUCUGGUCCAGAGGCUGACAAAGCUCUGCUCAACACCAGAAGGUCCAUCCACAUCAGUCCAGUUCACCAAAGGUCUGUUCACAUUGGACCCGUCCACCCCAGGUCCGUCCACAUCAAACCUGUCCACAUCAGAGUCAUCCAUCCAAGGUCCAACCACAUCAGACCCAUCCAUUCCAGGACCAUCCACAUCAGACCCAUCCAUUCCAGGACCAUCAACAUCAGACCUGUCCACAUCAGACCCAUCCAUUCCAGGUCCGAUCACAUCAGACCCCUCCACCCCAGGUCUAACAAUAUCAGACAUGUCCACCCCAAGUCCGACCCUGUCAGACAUGUCCAGAUCAGAGCCAUCCACCCCAAGUCCAUCCCCGUCCAUCCCAGGUCUAACAAUAUCAGACAUGUCCACCCCAAGUCCAUCCACAUCAGACAAAGACCUGAGGGUGUGUGAGGAUGUCACAGAGGACUGUGUGGAUGUAGAUGAUGAGAUGAAUCCUCAUGGUACAGAGAAACAGCAGUUUGUCUGCACAGAGGCUCAGGCUGGACCAUCUGACUGGGAGGAGUUCACACCCGAAGAUUCAGCAGAGUCUGGAACAACUAUGUACAGGUUCAGGUGUCCCCGUUCAGGUUCAUUCCAUUGUACUCGGACUGGAUUGGUGUUUGUCGUGCAUAAGGAGGCGGGCCUUCAGUACAGGACUGUCCAAUGGGAUGAGGACCUCUUGGAGUCAGCUAGUAGGACACCCUGCAGGGCCGCUGUUCAGUAUCGAGUGUCCAGAUAA
ensembl:lncRNA